rnacentral:rRNA from 1 species
CCCGGGUCUUGUACACACCGCCCGUCACACCACGAGAGUUUGUAACACCCGAAGUCGGUGGGGUAACCGCAAGGAGCCAGCCGCCUAAGGUGGGACAGAUGAUUGGGUG